rnacentral:rRNA from 1 species
GCAGUCGAACGCGUCUUGGUUAUUGAUGUUAAGUGCUUGCAUUUAAUUGAUUUAACAUUGAGACGAGUGGCGAACUGGUGAGUAACACGUGGGUAACCUGCCCUUGAAGUAGGGGAUAACACUUGGAAACAGGUGCUAAUACCGUAUAACAACCAAAACCACCUGGUUUUGGUUUAAAAGAUGGCUUCGGCUAUCACUUUAGGAUGGACCCGCGGCGUAUUAGCUUGUUGGUAAGGUAACGGCCUACCAAGGCAAUGAUACGUAGCCGACCUGAGAGGGUAAUCGGCCACAUUGGGACUGAGACACGGCCCAAACUCCUACGGGAGGCAGCAGUAGGGAAUCUUCCACAAUGGACGAAAGUCUGAUGGAGCAACGCCGCGUGAGUGAUGAAGGGUUUCGGCUCGUAAAACUCUGUUGUUGGAGAAGAACAGGUGUGAGAGUAACUGUUCAUAUCUUGACGGUAUCCAACCAGAAAGCCACGGCUAACUACGUGCCAGCAGCCGCGGUAAUACGUAGGUGGCAAGCGUUGUCCGGAUUUAUUGGGCGUAAAGCGAGCGCAGGCGGUUUCUUAGGUCUGAUGUGAAAGCCUUCGGCUUAACCGGAGAAGUGCAUCGGAAACCAGGAGACUUGAGUGCAGAAGAGGACAGUGGAACUCCAUGUGUAGCGGUGAAAUGCGUAGAUAUAUGGAAGAACACCAGUGGCGAAGGCGGCUGUCUGGUCUGUAACUGACGCUGAGGCUCGAAAGCAUGGGUAGCGAACAGGAUUAGAUACCCUGGUAGUCCAUGCCGUAAACGAUGAGUGCUAAGUGUUGGAGGGUUUCCGCCCUUCAGUACUGCAGCUAACGCAUUA